rnacentral:rRNA from 1 species
GGGGGACGAGGGUGGACAGGUGGUGGCAUGGUUGUCGUCAGCUCGUGUCGUGAGAUGUUGGGUUAAGUCCCGCAACGAGCGCAACCCUCGACCUUAGUUGCCAGCAUUCAGUUGGGCACUCUAAGGUGACUGCCGGCUAAAAGUCGGAGGAAGGUGGGGGAUGACGUCAAAUCAUCAUGCCCCUUAUGACCUGGGCUACACACGUGCUACAAUGGGCGGUACAAAGGGUCGCGAACCCGCGAGGGGGAGCCAAUCCCAAAAAGCCGCUCUCAGUUCGGAUUGCAGGCUGCAACUCGCCUGCAUGAAGCCGGAAUCGCUAGUAAUCGCGGAUCAGCAUGCCGCGGUGAAUACGUUCCCGGGCCUU